rnacentral:tRNA from 1 species
CGGGGCAUAGCGCAGUUCGGUUAGCGCACUUGGUUUGGGACCAAGGGGUCGUAGGUUCGAAUCCUACUGCCCCGA